CGUAGGGUGCGAGCGUUAAUCGGAAUUACUGGGCGUAAAGCGUGCGCAGGCGGUUUUGUAAGACAGGCGUGAAAUCCCCGGGCUCAACCUGGGAACUGCGCUUGUGACUGCAAGGCUAGAGUACGGCAGAGGGGGUGGAAUUCCACGUGUAGCAGUGAAAUGCGUAGAGAUGUGGAGGGACACCAAUGGCGAAGGCAGCCCCCUGGGUCGAUACUGACGCUCAUGCACGAAAGCGUGGGUAGCAAACAGGAUUAGAUACCCUGGUAGUCCACGCCCUAAACGAUGUCAACUAGGUGUUGGGUGGGUAAAACCAUUUAGUACCGGAGCUAACGCGUGAAGUUGACCGCCUGGGGAGUACGGCCGCAAGGUUA
rnacentral:rRNA from 1 species